AGGACGAACGCUGGCGGCGUGCUUAACACAUGCAAGUCGAACGGUGACCAGGACUUCGGUCCUGCGAUCAGUGGCGAACGGGUGCGUAACACGUGGGCAACCUGCCCCAGACUCUGGGAUAACCCCGGGAAACCGGAGCUAAUACCGGAUACUUUCACGGAACCACAUGGCUCUGUGAUGAAAGAACUUCGGUCUGGGAUGGGCCCGCGGCCUAUCAGCUUGUUGGUGAGGUAACGGCUCACCAAGGCGACGACGGGUAGC
rnacentral:rRNA from 1 species